GCUGGCCUUCCAAUAAGAGGUGGUUCACUUCGGUAAAAAAAAAUCACAAUAUUAUCGCUUUCCCACACACAGGACCCAACCUAAAUCUUUCAUCACCUGGCGCUGGCGUGUGGCAGGGUGACCGUGGCUAAAGGGAAGGUGGUUUGGAAGAUGGCGGGAAGAAGGGAGACGGAAGCAGCACCACGCCCGCCAUGGCCCCGUCCACCAUCUGUCUCCUUUCACCACUCACACCACAGCCAAGCUCGACCUUGGGCACGUCGAGUGGCGGAGAAAGGGCGAGAGGCGGUGAGGCCAGCAACGACCAAUACCCCUCGUGUGGGUCACCUCGGACACCACACCCCCAAGCGAGGCUCUUCUUCCUCCUCGAGCCUCGCAGCCUCGCUCUCUGCCUCAUCUAUAUGGCGGAGGCGCAGCUGGAGUGCACCGGGAAUACAAACAGUGGAGGCGGCAGGGAGCGGAGAGCUAAGAGUGUCCGGGCUGCGAGGAGGCUGUUGUCACACGUCUGAGCUGAAGAGGGCGGGUACGGCGGCGCCCAGCCUGCAGAUGGGCUUUUCAGGCUCAGCACAAAUGAAUAGGACCAGUAGUGCAACCCCCCACCUCCCACACCACCAUAACCACAACCCAACAAGAGCAACAUCAACAACCGAAAGAAGGAGCAGAGAAAAAGAAAUUCUCACCCCCGGAAUUUCAGGGGAACGCGAGUCGCUUGGUGAGUGAUGCUGUUCUCGGGAAUAGCUUAGCAGGAGCCAUUUGCACCCUAUGUAUGUUUCUCAUCACCACUUCUACGGCUUGCUCUCGCUGCCUGCUCCACUUCUCAUUAUUGUGCCUCCAUCACUAAUAUACUACAUCAUCACCACCACCAUAGCAAGACUCGCAAUCGCUAUAUCACUAUAUAUCAGCUUGUCCUGUUGUCACUAUCCCUUGUUUCAUUGCCCUUAUCUUGAUCACACCUACUUUGCCCUAUUAUCAGUAUUCCCCAUACCUCACCAUUUUUUUAAGUCCCCCUGUCACUAUCACAUCUGUAGACUGUAUGGCUCUCCUCCCCUUCCCGCCACAAUCGAACCUGCACCACACCUCCCCUUUGCCCUAUUUAUAGCACUCCAAUAUCACCUGCACACACUACCUUUCCCUCAACACAAAAGAAAUUAAGAAAUGCAUGGUAAGUAGUUUGUCCCCUGCAAUAGAAAACUUCUCCCUGCGCUAGGAAUUGUAGGUGUUUAUGAAUGCACAAUGUUUUCUGUAAAUAAA